rfam:Eucalyptus grandis cultivar BRASTZ1 unplaced genomic scaffold scaffold_6, whole genome shotgun sequence.
AGGCAGUGAUGAUCAACUUGAGAAAGUCAUGCACCACUCUGAUUUCAAUCCGUGCUGAUAAAUUUCUCAACACCCAUUUUUCUAUCUGAGCCU